CUUUGGAAUUAGAGUUUGGUCAAAUCACACCAUGAUCUUCAUCUCAUGCCAACUAGCAUACAAAUUACAUCAAAGAUGCCAUUUGAUUUCAUUGUAACUGUGCAAACACAUGCAUUUCCUGAAAACAGAUGAGAAUGGCUUCUCUGGCAGGACACGUGUCAGCGUCAAUCUUCUCUGUUGGCUGCAGCUUGUGCGAGGGCCAAAUGGGCAGGAGGGUUGGAAACAUGGGCUGUGUUGACUAUAGUACUGAAUAGAGCACCUCAGAGAUGGAAAAGAUCUGUAUGCUGGGUGACACCACAUGAAUUUGGAUCUAAAGCAAGAAGCAGGUGAGGCUGGAUUUUUUUUUUUUCUUCCAUGAAUGAAAUUUUUGGAAUGACAGGUUUGGGAUGACAUAUUGUCCAUUCCAGUGGCCCCGGGGGGCAGGUCUGCAGCUCCUGUGGAAAGUCAAGAGUCUGCCCCUGAACCCGCUCCAUUGUCGGCUCAAGCUCCCGAGUCUGCUUCAUUCCAGAGUCUGUCAAAAUCUGCUACAGAUUCAAUCCAAGAGCCCUGAGAGCCAGUCCUGGCACCCAUUCCUGAUCCAGUCCAACUUCAGGAGGGGGUACCUUACCAUACUCCAACCUCCAAAUCUCCAGAACUAUCUACUUCCCCUACCACUUUCAAGCCAUCACUUGUCAAGCCGGUCAGUACUUCUACUUAUGCCACCACCCGUAUCCCUAUGGCCCCAUCUUCUCUGCGGCGAGGCUUUAAUCGUACUCAAACCAUGCCUGCUGCCUUCAGCUCUACCCUGUCAGGCUACAACCCUGGACUUACUCCCACCCUUCCCACCCCUCUCAUGUGCUGCCUGGUUGCUUUGGUCCUUUUUAUUUCUAUAGCUCCCCUUUUAUCUUGUUUCUAGGUCAUAGCAUUCUUGUCUGACUUUUUGCUCUUGUUUUUGAUUUUUUAUUAUUAUUACUAUUAUUAUUACUAUUUUUGUUCUCUUGUUGUCUUAAGUCUUGUCUAGUGUUUUGUGAGUUCUGUCUGUUCCUGUCUUGCCUCCUACUUUCUCCCUGGCCACUGGGUCUGCCUGCCUGGAGGUCUGAUGUGUGUGACUUCACCUCCAUAGCCAAGUGCCCUUGGUUCCUGGUGCUGUGGUCUGGUCUCUAGCACAGCCUCCUCUACAGUCCUGUGCUCGGUUGGCACCCAGGGCCCUCCUCGGCUUGUCUAAUUUGUCAAACGUCCCUUGUUCAAUCUGCAUUUGGGUCCUCUCCCUCAGUACCCCUGACAGUUACACAUUGUGUGAAACUCUACAGGCACAUUCAGGUCACAUUCCCAUGUUGGUUGUUCCUUGGAGUUGGAUUCGAUGUAGCAUUUUUUUUUUUC
ensembl:lncRNA